CGUCGUAGUCCGGAUUGGAGUCUGCAACUCGACUCCAUGAAGUCGGAAUCGCUAGUAAUCGUAGAUCAGAAUGCUACGGUGAAUACGUUCCCGGGCCUUGUACACACCGCCCGUCACACCAUGGGAGUGGGUUGCAAAAGAAGUAGGUAGCUUAACCUUCGGGAGGGCGCUUACCACUUUGUGAUUCAUGACUGGGGUGAAGUCGUAACAAGGUAACCGUAGGGGAACCUGCGGUUGGAUCACCUCCUUA
rnacentral:rRNA from 4 species